GCUGGGCAUGGUGGCGGGUGCCUGUAAUUCCAGCUACUUGGAAGGCUGAGGCAGGAGGAUCGCUUGAGCCCGGUAGGUGGAGGGUGCAGUGAGCUGAGAUCGUGCCACUGCACUCCAGCCUGGGCAACAGAGCAAGACCCCGUCUCAG
rnacentral:SRP_RNA from 1 species